rnacentral:rRNA from 1 species
GACGAACGCUGGCGGCGUGCUUAACACAUGCAAGUCGAACGGUAAAGCCCCACCUUGCUGGAGUGGUUCAGUGGCGAACGGGUGAGUAACACGUGAGCAACCUGCCCCUGACUCUGGGAUAACCUCUGGAAACGGCGGCUAAUACUGGAUACGAGAAGCGUCCGCAUGGUCAGUUUCUGGAAAGUUUUUCGGUUGGGGAUGGGCUCGCGGCCUAUCAGCUUGUUGGCGAGGUAAUGGCUCACCAAGGCGUCGACGGGUAGCCGGCCUGAGAGGGCGACCGGCCACACUGGGACUGAGACACGGCCCAGACUCCUACGGGAGGCAGCAGUGGGGAAUAUUGCACAAUGGGCGAAAGCCUGAUGCAGCGACGCCGCGUGAGGGAUGACGGCCUUCGGGUUGUAAACCUCUUUCAGCAGGGAAGAAGCGAAAGUGACGGUACCGGCAGAAGAAGCACCGGCUAACUACGUG